ACUUUCUUUUCCAGGAAGUGUAGGAGUCUA
rnacentral:piRNA from 1 species